rnacentral:rRNA from 1 species
CCUGACGCAGCAACGCCGCGUGGAGGAUGAAGGUCUUCGGAUUGUAAACUCCUGUUGCUCGGGACGAAAAGCCUCGACCUAACACGUCGAGGUCUGACGGUACCGAGUGAGGAAGCCCCGGCUAACUCUGUGCCAGCAGCCGCGGUAAUACAGAGGGGGCAAGCGUUGUUCGGAAUUACUGGGCGUAAAGGGCGCGUAGGCGGCCCGCUAAGUCGAACGUGAAAUCCCCGAGCUCAACUCGGGAACUGCGUCCGAUACUGGUGGGCUUGAAUCCGGGAGAGGGAUGCGGAAUUCCAGGUGUAGCGGUGAAAUGCGUAGAUAUCUGGAGGAACACCGGUGGCGAAGGCGGCAUCCUGGACCGGCAUUGACGCUGAGGCGCGAAAGCUAGGGGAGCAAACGGGAUUAGAUACCCCGGUAGUCCUAGCCCUAAACGAUGAAUGCUUGGUGUGGCGGGUAUCGAUCCCUGCCGUGCCGAAGCUAACGCAUUAAGCAUUCCGCCUGGGGAGUACGGUCGCAAGGCUGAAACUCAAAUGAAUUGACGG